rnacentral:rRNA from 1 species
UACGUAGGGAGCAAGCGUUGUCCGGAAUCAUUGGGCGUAAAGAGCGCGUAGGUGGCUUUAUAAGUCCGUUGUGAAAGUCAAAGGCUCAACCUUUGAAAGCCGAUGGAUACUGUGAAGCUAGAGUACGGAAGAGGCGAGUGGAAUUCCUGGUGUAGCGGUGGAAUGCGCAGAUAUCAGGAGGAACACCAAUAGCGAAGGCAGCUCGCUGGGACGUUACUGACACUGAGGCGCGAAAGCGUGGGGAGCGAACAGG